GCCUAACACAUGCAAGUCGAGCGCGAAAACACUUCGGUGUGAGUAGAGCGGCGGACGGGUGAGUAAUGCUUGGGAAUCUGCCCAGUAGUGGGGGAUAACGUGUGGAAACGCACGCUAAUACCGCAUACGUCCUACGGGAGAAAGCAGGGGAUCUUCGGACCUUGCGCUAUUGGAUGAGCCCAAGUCGGAUUAGCUAGUUGGUGGGGUAAUGGCCUACCAAGGCGACGAUCCGUAGCUGGUCUGAGAGGAUGAUCAGCCACACUGGGACUGAGACACGGCCCAGACUCCUACGGGAGGCAGCAGUGGGGAAUAUUGCACAAUGGGCGAAAGCCUGAUGCAGCCAUGCCGCGUGUGUGAAGAAGGCUCUAGGGUUGUAAAGCACUUUCAGUAGGGAGGAAAAGCUUAAGGUUAAUAACCUUGAGCCCUGACGUUACCUACAGAAGAAGCACCGGCAAACUCCGUGCCAGCAGCCGCGGUAAUACGGAGGGUGCGAGCGUUAAUCGGAAUUACUGGGCGUAAAGCGCGCGUAGGUGGUUUGAUAAGCUAGCUGUGAAAGCCCCGGGCUCAACCUGGGAACUGCAGUUAGAACUGUCUGACUAGAGUACAGUAGAGGGUGGCGGAAUUUCCUGUGUAGCGGUGAAAUGCGUAGAUAUAGGAAGGAACAUCAGUGGCGAAGGCGGCCACCUGGACUGA
rnacentral:rRNA from 1 species